rnacentral:other from 1 species
UGCGGUCUGCGCCUCACGACAGGAUACACAAUCCCCGGGGCCUUACUCGAUCCUAAGGGAGCUGUCCCUGACUCGACCCGUGGGUUUGGUCACACGGCGCCCACCUACGUUGUAGGCACCCGGGAUCGACCUUUCCAUCGGUUGUCGUGGAUCGCAC